CUUUGUUGCCUACACGAAAUGUCAGCUGUUGCAGUUGGGUUUAGAAUAAGGUAAUGUUAACAUACUUUUGGAAAACCAGGUCUUGUGUUGUAUCAUUCUGGGUAAAGUCAUUGUUACAAGCAGAACUAUGCAUGAUAUGUGGUGAAAAUUGAUGGUUUUUACAUUUUCAAUCAACAGCCAGGUUUCAGGAUAAUUAAGCACAUACUACUUUUACAUAUACAACGUAUUAAUGUAAUUUUGCUUCAGUUCUCUAGAUAUUUUUGGGUAUAUAUGUUCCUGAAUUAGUUCCAGCAGUUCCAGUUUGAAGUUGUGAAUGUUUUAUGGGCUUAUCUAAUUCCUACCUUUAAAUAGAAAUGAAUUGAUUUGUAAAUUAUAAUCAUUGGGUGUGUUCUGUUGUGAACUAUACUCUAUACAUGCCAUUACUUAUUGCAUAAUUUUAUUACUUUGUGAAUCAAUUGUAACUUAUUUUUAAUUAAAAUGCAGAUCUUCAUGCAGCCUUCUGUUCAUGUUCAUUCAAAAAUUCACAUGGAAAGUACUAAUUUCUCAAUGAAACUAGGUAUUCAAAGCUUGUAACUAAACAUUUAUUUUUAUUGAAAUAAACCUCAGAAAUUCUUACAAGAUGUGCUAUUGACUGCCAAUAUUCUACUUCAGUUGGAUCUCCAAUUUACUGAGAAACUUUCUCUUCGAAUUAUGGUUAAUAAAGAAUUUAUUUAAUGUAAGUUUUAUUGUUUUGUUCAAGGACGUUUUGCAUUGAUAUUAUUUUGAUGUGUACCGCUCUAGAAUUAGUAGUAUUAGAAUAUCAAUGUAGUUAUCGCAAUAAAAAAUUACCAAUUCUUGUUUGAACUUGCUUUUUUUUCUAAAUUGGAAAACGAGAUGGCGCUGCUGCUCCUUUAUACUUGUUAUGUGAUCAAGCUCUAUGUGACUAGUGAAAACCGUAUCCCAAUAUUUGUUAAUUAUAUUACAUUCCUAUUUAAAUUUCGAUCAAAUCAAAUGGUAAUUUUGUUAUGCCUGCUGCCAAAUCCAAAAACUCUUAGCAACUUGUCACUUAGAGAUUCCAUCAUGCUUUUCUAUUGCUCAUUAGGAGUAGCUCGUUAAACUAAAAUCGAAAAGGAUGCUGACUUGCAAUCUUCUUGUCAUUUCCACUGAGCCGGUCAAGUGGCAUGAUUUAGUUUUGAGGGUUGAGCUCGUAAACUGAAAGUGCAAAGGAUGCUGGCUCUGAAGGAAGAUCAUUCUUGACCCACUCAUCUUGUAUCAGCAGUCUUCUUUUAUUUCUACUCUGAUGGCCAACACACAUAGAUGUGAACCUCAGAACUACUACUCCUUGGACUGCCAACCCAACGUGUCUAAAAAAAUUGCCGGCCCUACAAUUUUGACAACAGGCGUAUGUAAAAAAAGCCCCUUCUUCACCUCGCCCGUCAUCGCUUUGCCCGUCACCGAAUCGCCCGUCAUCGCUUUGCCCGUCAUCGCUUUGCCCGUCGUCGAAUCGCCCGUCAUCGCUUUGCCCGUCGCCGAAUCGCCCGUCAUCGCUUUGCCCGUCGCCGAAUCGCCCGUCAUCACUCUGCCCGUCGCCCCAUCUUCCCCUCGCCCGGUCACCCCGUCGUCGCAUCGUGGUCGCCCGGUCGCCCCGUCUUCGCCUCGUGGUCGCCCCGUCAUCGUGGUAUCAUUGUUUUAUGUAAUGUGUGUGUGUGUUAAGUGUAGUGCUAAUUAACCCGUUGGCUGCCACCCACUUUGAUCCCCUUUUUUUUUAGCUUGUUAGGGUCCGGCAGCGCUGUUCUGCCCAAUGGUCUAUAUGCCAUGGGUGGGACAGUUGCACAAGCCGUGUGGCUCAAAGUCGAUCGUCGAGGCAAUGCACCAUUAGGAACUCCCCCCUUGUCGAUGCGGUGAUGGUUGCCUGGGGUGUGCAUUCCCGUAAUGGCUUCCAUCAUCGUGUCAGCCCGGACUUGUCUUCGGACAAGUCCCCCUUUGGUCGCGAUCUUUCUGAUGGCGAUGUAGCUAGCGUAGUAUGUAGUGGCGUGGCAGCCAACGGGUUAGUUGUAUUUGUGUAUGUAUGUAUUGUAUAUUAUGUUGUAUUGUAUUAUGCUGUAAACCAAGUGGUGGAAUUGUGGGUGGAUGGAGGGACAAUAAAAGCUUUUUACAUCUA